GGUACUUGGUAAAGAAGCACCGGCUAACUCCGUGCCAGCAGCUGCGGUAAUACGGAGGGUGCAAGCAUUGAUCGGAAUUACUGGGCGUAAAGGGCGCGUAGGCGGCUGAGAAAGUCAGAUGUGAAAUUCCGGGGCUCAACCCCGGAGCUGCAUUUGAAACUUCUUAGCUAGAGGAUGGUUAGGGAAAACGGAAUUCCACGUGUAGCGGUGAAAUGCGUAGAUAUGUGGAAGAACACCGGUGGUGAAGACGGUUUUCUGGGCCAAACCUGACGCUGAGGCGCGAAAGCUAGGGGAGCAAACAGGAUUAGAUACCCUGGUAGUCCUAGCCUUAAACGAUGCAUACUAGAUGUAGGCGGGCUCAACCCUGUCUGUAUCGGAGCUAACGCAUUAAGUAUGCCGCCUGGGGAGUACGCUCGCAAGGGUGAAACUCAAAAGAAUUGACGGGGGCCCGCACAAGCAGUGGAGCAUGUGGUUUAAUUCGAUGCAACGCGAAGAACCUUACCUGGGCUCGAAAUGUAGAGGACGAUCACAGAGAUGUGGUUUCCCGAAAGGGUCUCUAUAUAGGUGCUGCAUGGCUGUCGUCAGCUCGUGCCGUGAGGUGUUUGGUUAAGUCCAGCAACGAGCGCAACCCUUAUCGUUAGUUGCCAGCGCGUAAUGGCGGGAACUCUAACGAGACUGCCUAGGUUAACUAGGAGGAAGGUGAGGAUGACGUCAAGUCCGCAUGGCCUUUAUGUCCAGGGCUACACACGUGCUACAAUGGUCGGUACAGAAGGCAGCGAAACCGUAAGGUGGAGCAAAUCCCUAAAACCGAUCUCAGUUCAGAUUGUAGUCUGCAACUCGACUACAUGAAGUUGGAAUUGCUAGUAAUGGCGUGUCAGCAACAACGCCGUGAAUACGUUCCCGGGCCUUGUACACACCGCCCGUCACAUCAUGGGAGUUGGUUUUACCCGAAGUCGCUGACUCAACCGCAAGGGGAGAGGUGCCUAAGGUAAGGCCGAUGACUGGGAUGAAGUCGUAACAAGGUAGCCCUAUCGGAAGGUGGGGCUG
rnacentral:rRNA from 1 species